rnacentral:rRNA from 1 species
GUGCACGACGUGCCAGCAGCCGCGGUGGUAGUUGUGGUGGGUGCGUUGUCCGGUUUUAGUGGGCGUAAAGAGCUCGUAUGUGGUUUGUUGCGUCGGGAGUGAAAACACGCAGCUCAACUGUGUGCUUGCUUUCGAUACGGGCAGACUUGAGGGAUGUAGGGGAGAACGGAAUUCCUGGUGGAGCGGUGGAAUGCGCAGAUAUCAGGAGGAACACCGGUGGCGAAGGCGGUUCUCUGGACAUUUCCUGACGCUGAGGAGCGAAAGCGUGGGGAGCAAACAGGAUUAGAUACCCUAGUAGUC